rnacentral:rRNA from 1 species
GCACGGGUGAGUAACACGUGGGUAAUCUGCCUUUGGGUGGGGAAUAACGAUCCGAAAGGAUCGCUAAUACCGCAUAACGCAGCGGCACCGCAUGGUGACAGUUGUUAAAGGGGGGGAUCGAAAGACCUCUCGCCUGAAGAGGAGCCCGCGUCCGAUUAGCUUGUUGGUGAGGUAACGGCUCACCAAGGCAACGAUCGGUAGCCGGCCUGAGAGGGCGGUCGGCCACACUGGCACUGAGACACGGGCCAGACUCCUACGGGAGGCAGCAGUGGGGAAUUUUGGGCAAUGGGCGAAAGCCUGACCCAGCAACGCCGCGUGAAGGACGAAAUCCCUCUGGGAUGUAAACUUCGAAAGUCAGGAAAGAAAUCCACGAGGAUAACACCCUUGUGGGAUGACGGUACCUGACGUAAGCCCCGGCUAACUACGUGCCAGCAGCCGCGGUAAUACGUAGGGGGCAAGCGUUGUUCGGAAUUACUGGGCGUAAAGGGCGCGUAGGCGGCACGGCAAGUCGGGAGUGAAAGGCCUGGGCUCAACCGAGGAACUGCUUUCGAGACUGCCGAGCUAGAGUGCGGAAGGGGCAACUGGAAUUCCCAGUGUAGCGGUGAAAUGCGUAGAUAUUGGGAAGAACACCUGAGGCGAAGGCGGGUUGCUGGGCCGACACUGACGCUGAGGCG